rnacentral:rRNA from 1 species
AUUGAACGCUGGCGGCAUGCUUUACACAUGCAAGUCGAACGGCAGCACAGAGAAGCUUGCUUCUUGGGUGGCGAGUGGCGAACGGGUGAGUAAUAUAUCGGAACGUACCGAGUAAUGGGGGAUAACUAAUCGAAAGAUUAGCUAAUACCGCAUAUUCUCUGAGGAGGAAAGCAGGGGACCUUCGGGCCUUGCGUUAUUCGAGCGGCCGAUAUCUGAUUAGCUAGUUGGUGGGGUAAAGGCCUACCAAGGCGACGAUCAGUAGCGGGUCUGAGAGGAUGAUCCGCCACACUGGGACUGAGACACGGCCCAGACUCCUACGGGAGGCAGCAGUGGGGAAUUUUGGACAAUGGGCGCAAGCCUGAUCCAGCC